UACGGAGGGUGCGAGCGUUGUCCGGAUUUAUUGGGUUUAAAGGGUGCGUAGGUGGCUUUUUAAGUCAGUGGUGAAAUACAGCCGCUCAACGGUUGAGGUGCCAUUGAUACUGAAGAGCUUGAAACAAGUGGAGGCUGCCGGAAUGGAUGGUGUAGCGGUGAAAUGCAUAGAUAUCAUCCAGAACACCGAUUGCGAAGGCAGGUGGCUACGUUUGAUUUGACACUGAGGCACGAAUGCAUGGGGAGCAAACAGG
rnacentral:rRNA from 1 species